rnacentral:rRNA from 1 species
UACAGAGGGGGCAAGCGUUGUUCGGAAUUACUGGGCGUAAAGGGCGCGUAGGCGGCCUUCUAAGUCGAACGUGAAAUCCCCGGGCUCAACCCGGGAACUGCGUCCGAGACUGGAAGGCUCGAAUCCGGGAGAGGGAUGUGGAAUUCCAGGUGUAGCGGUGAAAUGCGUAGAUAUCUGGAGGAACAUCGGUGGCGAAGGCGGCAUCCUGGACCGGUAUUGACGCUGAGGCGCGAAAGCCAGGGGAGCAAACAGG